GACGAACGCUGGCGGCGUGCUUAACACAUGCAAGUCGAACGGAAAGGCCCUGCUUGCAGGGUGCUCGAGUGGCGAACGGGUGAGUAACACGUGGGUGAUCUGCCCCUUACUUUGGGAUAAGCCUGGGAAACUGGGUCUAAUACUGGAUAGGACCAUGCUGUAGGUGGUGUGGUGGAAAGAUUAGUUUCGGUAAGGGAUGAGCUCGCGGCCUAUCAGCUUGUUGGGGGGGUAAUGGCCUACCAAGGCGUCGACGGGUAGCCGGCCUGAGAGGGUGGACGGCCACAUUGGGACUGAGAUACGGCCCAGACUCCUACGGGAGGCAGCAGUGGGGAAUAUUGCACAAUGGGCGCAAGCCUGAUGCAGCGACGCCGCGUGGGGGAUGACGGCCUUCGGGUUGUAAACUCCUUUCAGCCAUGACGAAGCCCUUGUGGUGACGGUAGUGGUAGAAGAAGCACCGGCUAACUACGUG
rnacentral:rRNA from 1 species